GAUGAACGCUGGCGGCGUGCCUAAUACAUGCAAGUCGAGCGGACAGACGAGGCUCUUGCUCCUCGGACGUUAGCGGCAGGCGGGAGAGUAACACGUGGAUCACCUCCCUAUAUGAGUGGUAUAUCUUCGGGACAGCGGAGCUAAUACGGGAUAAUCUAUUGAAGCGCGGGGGGCAUUAGUAAAAGACGGUUUUGCGGGCUCUUAUAGCUGCUUACGCGCCGGAUGGGCUAGUUGGUGAGGUAAAGGGUUACCAAGGCUAGUAUGCGUAGCCGACCGGAGAGGGGGAUCGGCCACACUGGAAGUGAGACGCGGUCAAGAGGCCUGCGGGAGGCACCAGAAGGGAAUCGGCCGCAAUGGGGGAAAGCAUGACGGAGCAACGCCGCGUGAGUGAUGAAGGUGCUCGGAGCGGAAAAAUCUGUUAUUGGGUAAGAACAAAUGUGUAAGGAACUAAGCACGUCUUGACGGUACCUAAUCAGAAAGCCACGGCUAACUACGUG
rnacentral:rRNA from 1 species